rnacentral:rRNA from 1 species
AGAGUUUGAUCCUGGCUCAGGACGAACGCUGGCGGCGUGCUUAACACAUGCAAGUCGAACGGUGAAGCGCCUUCCUUUGUGGUGGGUGUGGAUGAGUGGCGAACGGGUGAGUAACACGUGAGUAACCUGCCCCCUUCUUCUGGAUAACCGCAUGAAAGUGUGGCUAAUACGGGAUAUUCUGUGCCUGCUGCAUGGUGGGUGUGGGAAAGAUUGCGCCUUUGGGUGUUUUUGGUGGGGGAUGGGCUCGCGGCCUAUCAGCUUGUUGGUGGGGUGAUGGCCUACCAAGGCGGUGACGGGUAGCCGGCCUGAGAGGGUGGACGGUCACACUGGGACUGAGACACGGCCCAGACUCCUACGGGAGGCAGCAGUGGGGAAUAUUGCACAAUGGGCGCAAGCCUGAUGCAGCGACGCCGCGUGAGGGAUGGAGGCCUUCGGGUUGUGAACCUCUUUCGCCAGUGAAGCAGGCCUGUCCCUGUGUGGGUGGGUUGACGGUAGCUGGAUAAGAAGCGCCGGCUAACUACGUGCCAGCAGCCGCGGUAAUACGUAGGGCGCGAGCGUUGUCCGGAAUUAUUGGGCGUAAAGAGCUCGUAGGCGGCUGGUCGCGUCUGUCGUGAAAUCCUCUGGCUUAACUGGGGGCUUGCGGUGGGUACGGGCCGGCUUGAGUGCGGUAGGGGAGGCUGGAACUCCUGGUGUAGCGGUGGAAUGCGCAGAUAUCAGGAAGAACACCGGUGGCGAAGGCGGGUCUCUGGGCCGUUACUGACGCUGAGGAGCGAAAGCGUGGGGAGCGAACAGGAUUAGAUACCCUGGUAGUCCACGCCGUAAACGUUGGGCACUAGGUGUGGGGGGCCUUUUCCGGGUUUUCCGCGCCGUAGCUAACGCAUUAAGUGCCCCGCCUGGGGAGUACGGCCGCAAGGCUAAAACUCAAAGGAAUUGACGGGGGCCCGCACAAGCGGCGGAGCAUGCGGAUUAAUUCGAUGCAACGCGAAGAACCUUACCAAGGCUUGACAUGUGCCGGUUUGCUUCGGAGACGGGGUUUCCUCCUUUGUGGGGGCUGGUUCACAGGUGGUGCAUGGUUGUCGUCAGCUCGUGUCGUGAGAUGUUGGGUUAAGUCCCGCAACGAGCGCAACCCUUGUCUCGUGUUGCCAGCACGUUGUGGUGGGGACUCGCGGGAGACUGCCGGGGUCAACUCGGAGGAAGGUGGGGAUGACGUCAAAUCAUCAUGCCCCUUAUGUCUUGGGCUUCACGCAUGCUACAAUGGCCGGUACAGAGGGCUGCGAUACCGUGAGGUGGAGCGAAUCCCUUAAAGCCGGUCUCAGUUCGGAUCGGUGUCUGCAACUCGACACCGUGAAGUUGGAGUCGCUAGUAAUCGCAGAUCAGCAACGCUGCGGUGAAUACGUUCUCGGGCCUUGUACACACCGCCCGUCACGUCAUGAAAGUCGGCAACACCCGAAGCCCGUGGCCCUAUGGGGAGCGGUCGAAGGUGGGGCUGGUGAUUGGGACGAAGUCGUAACAAGGUAGCCGUACCGGAAGGUGCGGCUGGAUCACCU